UCUUUACGGAGAGUUUGAUCCUGGCUCAGGACGAACGCUGGCGGCGUGCUUAACACAUGCAAGUGGGGCGACGAAGCAGGCUUCGGCCUGUGGCAAAGCCGCGAACGGGUGAGUAACACGUGGGUAACCUGCCCCGAUGACUGGGACAACCCGGGGAAACUCGGGCUAAUACCGGAUGUGCUCACACCACAUCAGUGGUGUGCGUAAAGGUAGCUUCGGCCUCCGCAUCGGGAUGGGCCCGCGGCCCAUUAGCUUGUUGGUGAGGUAAAGGCUCACCAAGGCUGCGAUGGGUAGCUGGUCUGAGAGGACGAUCAGCCACACUGGGACUGAGACACGGCCCAGACUCCUACGGGAGGCAGCAGUGGGGAAUCUUGCGCAAUGCGCGAAAGCGUGACGCAGCAACGCCGCGUGGGUGAAGAAGGCCUUCGGGUUGUAAAGCCCUUUCAGUUGGGACGAAGCCCGGGCGGUGAAUAGCCGUUCCGGGUGACGGUACCUUCACAAGAAGCCCCGGCUAACUACGUGCCAGCAGCCGCGGUAAUACGUAGGGGGCAAGCGUUGUCCGGAAUCAUUGGGCGUAAAGAGCGCGUAGGCGGCCCGAUAAGUCUGCUGUGAAAGUCAAGGGCUUAACCCUUGAAUGCCGGUGGAUACUGUCGGGCUAGAGUCCGGAAGAGGCGAGUGGAAUUCCUGGUGUAGCGGUGAAAUGCGCAGAUAUCAGGAGGAACACCGAUGGCGAAGGCAGCUCGCUGGGACGGUACUGACGCUGAGGCGCGAAAGCGUGGGGAGCA
rnacentral:rRNA from 1 species